rnacentral:lncRNA from 10 species
AAAGUAAAAACAAACCACCCACACCACAUAACACAACCUCACCAAAUGGCCACCGCCUGCUCCGGCGGCCUGCUUUUAUUCUCUUAUCUGGCCCCACCCACAUCCUACUGAUUGGUCCAUUUUACAGAGAGCCAAUUGGUCUGUUUUACAGACAACUGAUUGGUCCGUUUUGACAGGGUGCUGAUUGGUGCGUUUACAAACCUUGAGCUAGACACAAAAGUUCUCUAAGUCCCCACUAGAUUAGCUAGACACAGAGCACUGACUGGUGCAUUUACAAACCUUGAGCUAGACACAGGGUGCUGAGUGGUGCAUUUACAAACCCCGAGCUAGACACAGAGUGCUGAUUGGUGCAUUCACAAUCCCUUAGCUAGGCAUAAAGGUUCUCCAAGUCCCCACCAGAUCAGCUAGACACAGAGUGCAGAUUGGUGCAUUUACAAACCUUGAAAUAGACACAGGGUGCUGAUUGGUGCAUUUACAAACCUUGAGCUAGAUACAGAGUGCCAAUUGCUGUAUUCACAAUCCCUUAGCUAGACAUAAAGAUUCUCCAAGUCCCCACCAGAUUAGCUAAAUACAGAGUGCCCACUGGUGCAUCCACAAACCCCGAGCUAGACACAGAGUGCUGAUUGGUGUGUUUACCCUCCCUUGACUAGACAUAGAGGUUCUCCAAGUCCCCACUAGACUGGGUAGCCCAGCUAGCUUCACCCAGUGGAUCCCGCACUGGGGCCGCAGGUGGAGCUGCCUGCCAGUCUCGCUCCCUGCGCCCGCACUCCUCUGCUCUUGGGUCCUCAAUGGGACUGGGCGCCUCGGAGCAGAGAGCCACGCUCGUCGGGGAGGCUCGGGCCUUGCAGGAGCCGACAGCGUGGGGCAGGGGAGGCUCACGCAUGGCGGGCUGCAGGUCCUGAGCCCUGCCCCGCGGGGAGGCAGCUAAGGCCUGGCGAGAAAUCGAGCGCAGCCUCGGUGGGCCGGCACUGCUGGGGGACCCCGUGCACCCUCCACAUCUACUGGCCUGGGGGCUAAGCCCCUCACUGCCCAAGGCCGGCGGGGUCGCCCGGCCGCUCCGAGUGCGGGGCCAGCCAAGCCCACGCCCACCCGGAACUCUAGCUGGCCGGCAAGCGCCGCGCGCAGCUCCAGUUCCUUUCCGUGCCUCUCCCUCCACACCUCCCAGCAGGCUGAGGGAGCCGGCUCCGGCCUCAACCAGCCCAGAGAGGGGCCCCGACAGCGCAGAGGCGGGCUGAAGGGCUCCCUGAGCAUGGCCAGAGCGGACGCCGAGGCCGAGGAGGCACCAAGAGCAAGCGAGGGCUGCCAGCAGCUGUCACCUCUCUCUGGGAUUACAGGAAGUCACAGAAGGAUGGGAAGAAAUAAGAAGUCACUGGGGUCCCAGGUGACUCAGAGAUUGCCCAGACCUCUGACCAGCUCUCAGACAACACUUUGGUCAGUCUCGGACUCUGCUAAAAAUGCAAUGCUUUUUGAUGAGUCCUCUCAUCUCCACCAAGACCACUCCAUCUUCAUCUGUGUCUAAGGCUUUAGUUGUGCCUGGCUGGCAACCUCAAACUCUUUGGCCACAAGCGAGAUGCAGGAAUUAAGCAAAAACAGAUCUCCAAGCAACCAAAAUAAUCAUCACACAUUGUAGGACGGAUUCAGGCACUCAAAUGCCUACAGGCAGGUAAGGCACAGUGCGGGAAGCUGGUGAAGGGUCAGACGAGCAGGGCCGGUGAGUUCACAGAGGGCAGCAGACAUUGAGGAGGAUUGGGUGGGGGCUGCUGGGAAUGAGAGAGCCUGCAUCCCUCCCCACCCCCCUGACCCCUGGCAAUUAAUGCCACAGGGGAUCAUGAGCCCAGGGCUGCCAGCUUUUCCAGUGUAUUCAGAGAAGUGAGAAACCUGAAUUUUAUCAGAAAAACUCUCAAACUUACCCCUAAGGAUGGCAUUUGGCCCUCAGGAUGCCAGUUUUGUCUUCUUUGGUUUAAGCAUCAAAGCUUACAUCCUUUAAAUCCCUCUGAGGCUUAGCCUGUUAAAUCUUAGUUUAGACACGAUCAUAAAAUGUUCUUAUAGCUAAGCAGAUGCAAAGUCACAAAUUAGAACAGGGAAACAAAACUGGCAGGCUCAGGUCCCCUGCCGACAGCAGUAGGUGAAGUAAGUUCAACUACAAACGCAGAGCUGUGUGAGAUCAUUUGGUGUAAGGAUACCGGCAUUUAUACAGCUCCAUGCCCAUUUUAUUACUUGUUUUUUUUUUUUUUUUUUUUUUGUUUGUUUUUUGAGAUGGAGUCUCGCUCUGUGGCCCAGGCUGGAGCGCAGUGGCACGAUCUCAGCUCACUGCAACCUCCGCCUUCCGGGUUCAAGCCAUUCUCUUGCCUCAACCUCCCGAGUAGCUGGGAUUACAGGUGCCAGCCACCACAGCCAGCUGAUUUUUGUAUUUUUAGUAGAGACGGGAUUUCACUCUGUAGGCCAGGCUGGUCUCAAGCUCCUGACCUCAAGUGAUCCACCCGCCUCAGCCUCACAAAGUGCUGGGAUUAUAGGCAUGAGCUACCAUGCCUGGCCCCAUUUUAUUACUUUACUAGAUCAAUAUCUCUAGUACUUAUAGAGAUCAAACAAGUUAAUGUCUAUGAAAGGACUUGAAAGCUGUGAAGAAAACAGGCCAACCUAGCUUUCUUUGAAUAUAAGCAGAAUACAAACAUUUAGUGAAACAAAUAGAAAUGGAUUAAUAGACAUGUUAUACAUAUAUUCUGCACAUUCUAUUUAAAAAUGCAUUUCUGAAAUAUAUUUAUUUAAUAUAGUGGGUUUUUUCAUUGAGUCAUUGUUUUUAAUAGCACAGAAUACAGAAAUAAUAGAUUGGGACAACAGUUUUGUAAGACUAGAGGUUAAUAUUCCUCUUGUGAAGAGGUAGCCUAUAAAUUAAUAAGAAAAGGUAAAUAACCAAAGAGAAAAGCAGGCAGAGUACAUGACAAUCACAAAGCAGAAAAAACUAAUGGCCAAUGAACAUAUAGAAACACACUCUUCUCACACUAGAGAUCAGAGAAAUUCAUAUUAAAACAAAAUUAUGCAGUGUGGUGAAUUCCUAUAGUUUGAUGUUGCCUCAGCAUCCAUUCUGAAGAUAAGCUUAACUUUCUCAUACCAGAAGCAGGGUUUAGUCAACCCCUACUUAACACAGUUUCCAGUUCUCCGCCUCCUCCCAGUUCCUCAAUGUGGUUAAUCCAGAUAUCUGCCUUAAACAAGUGCUCAAAAGUGAUGAUCUUAACAACAACAACAACAAAAUGGAUCUAAGUUAACUUCAUUUUUGUAUGCUUAUCCUUUUCCAUGUUCUCUCCUCCACAAGAAUAUAAGCUCCGGGCCGGGCGCAGUGGCUCACGCCUGUAAUCCCAGUACUUUGGGAGGC